rnacentral:lncRNA from 1 species
UCCGAACUCUAUCGUACCAGACAUUGAGGUCGAUUUGCUAUCAAUCAUUGAUUCGACCCCGAUGCAAGUCUUUCAACAGCCUAUUAUUUGAUAAUGUUGAGAAGUCAAUGGUCGUUCUCAGUUGAGUCACCCUUGCGGAAUGCAACUAGGACUCCUUUGGCAUGAAGCAUAGUUAUUGGAAGUGGCUUGGUGUGUGCGCUCUCUAAAAUUAGAGUAAUAUGAGCCAACGCUCGGUCAAUGAGCAUAUGAGAAGGCAAAGGAUUCCCUCGUGGGCCACUACACUAUUGAUGAAUGAUAGCAACCUCGACAAUGAAAGCCAGGUUUUGAAAGAAUCGAGAUAAAGAUCAUACAAGAUCACAUGACCGUUUCCGGAAGCUAACCAUAUUAAUAUUAGCGCCGCCUGCGUCUAGUCAGGGGCUGGGUCCACCGGGAUCCCUUCAAAAAGAUCAAGACAAACAGUCAAUUUCAAUACAUAUGCACGUCGUCGUGCUUGCAGUGACCGAGAUCAAAUCCACGUCCUCCGCUUUGUCGAUUCGAUAUUCGUCUUAUAAGAGCUCUUUCCAAGUAUCGACUGCUCGCCUCGCUAAAUUGACUCGAUAUAACGUGCACUCGUCGUGCAGGCGGCUGAUCUGACCAGUCAGCAUGUACAAGUCCAACAAGCAGCGAACCUCGCUUUGUUUCCGGUUCAAUAGUGAACACGUUCUUUACUCCAUACUAAUGCUCUGCUAGGAUUCAUAAGCGGGUUGAGCACGAAAGUCGACAGUGCUGUAGUCUUGUCUCUUGAGCUAUCGUUGUUGCGUACUUUGUAUCAAUGGAUAUUGCCAUUUCACAUACACAUUUUACACAGAGUGAAAUAUUCGAGUACGUACUCAAAUCUAGCAUUCAUCUGAAGUUGAAACUUUGGAUGAAGAUGCUAGGAGAGCCGUUCAUUGGACAAACAAGGCACAAGAAUGGGGCCAUUCCCGGCAGUCAUCGCCAGAUUGCUCCUUUUAAUUCCCGUGCUAGCCGCUUCGGGCUGUUCAUUAGCUACUCUCACUAACCAAGCUGGAAAUUUUCUCGUAGACUUGCCCCUGGCUGGAAAACUGGGAAUAGUUCAAUGACCAGAUUUCGAAAUCUUGAUUGUCAAAGGUACGCCUUGGAAGUCAUAAACAUCUACUCCAUACAUAUUUGCGUCGUGUGUUCAAGGUUGGUCCAUGGAAUCUUACCCCUGAUCCCUAGAGUCAACCCUGUCUACCUGGGCAAAUCCACUAGGGACUCCGUAUAAGUCACUACCAAGCUAUCGGCACAUGAAUCAAGCCAUUAGUUAACCACAGUACAUAUGCGCAUUGAAUUUUCUAGUCAAUUACAA